UGGGGAAUUUUGGACAAUGGGGGCAACCCUGAUCCAGCCAUGCCGCGUGAGUGAAGAAGGCCUUCGGGUUGUAAAGCUCUUUCGGCCGGGAAGAAAUCGCGCCAGCUAAUACCUGGUGUGGAUGACGGUACCGGAAGAAGAAGCGCCGGCUAACUACGUGCCAGCAGCCGCGGUAAUACGUAGGGUGCGAGCGUUAAUCGGAAUUACUGGGCGUAAAGCGUGCGCAGGCGGCUCUAUAAGACAGAUGUGAAAUCCCCGGGCUUAACCUGGGAACUGCGUUUGUGACUGUAGGGCUUGAGUGCGGCAGAGGGGGGUGGAAUUCCACGUGUAGCAGUGAAAUGCGUAGAGAUGUGGAGGAACACCGAUGGCGAAGGCAGCCCCCUGGGUCGACACUGACGCUCA
rnacentral:rRNA from 1 species